UGGCUCAGAUUGAACGCUGGCGGCAGGCCUAACACAUGCAAGUCGAGCGGAUGACGGGAGCUUGCUCCUUGAUUCAGCGGCGGACGGGUGAGUAAUGCCUAGGAAUCUGCCUGGUAGUGGGGGACAACGUUUCGAAAGGAACGCUAAUACCGCAUACGUCCUACGGGAGAAAGCAGGGGACCUUCGGGCCUUGCGCUAUCAGAUGAGCCUAGGUCGGAUUAGCUAGUUGGUGGGGUAAUGGCUCACCAAGGCGACGAUCCGUAACUGGUCUGAGAGGAUGAUCAGUCACACUGGAACUGAGACACGGUCCAGACUCUUACGGGAGGCAGCAGUGGGGAAUAUUGGACAAUGGGCGAAAGCCUGAUCCAGCCAUGCCGCGUGUGUGAAGAAGGUAUUCGGAUUGUAAAGCAC
rnacentral:rRNA from 1 species